UUUAAAUGUCCACAAAGCAUUAUACUUUUUUUACCCAAUCUCAAUAAGUACAGUGGGUAAAUGGAUUGGUAAUAAAUCUAUGUCCAAAUAGUGAAGGUCAGGACUCGCUUAACAUGCUAUUCGCCUUUAUCGAUAUCCAUAUUUGGAAGUUGGCUCAAUUAUUUGUGACUUAAAGCCAAAACUGUUAUUCCACUGAUGCAGGCAAAUAGUUCAUGCUCAUUUUAAGAAUGAGCUACAUUAACGUGCAACUUGAGUCCAAUCUGAACGGCAUAUGAAAACCAACAUUUAAAAUCUCCUUUAAACAUAACAAUAAGAGCAAACAAACAACAAAUUGGAUGUGUAAGUACACUCAGUACACAUAUCGAUUUUGCAGACUGAGUCAAACUGAACUAAACCCAAUCAAGGCAACCUGUUAAAGCCCACCUCCAAUGAUUUCGAAGUCAUAACAAACCAGCAUCAGCUGACAGAAGAAAACAAAUAAUAAACAAAUAAUGUAUAAAAAUCAUGAAUUGAGCAAACAGCAAAAAACAAUCAUAUAAAUGUAUUCUACAUA